UGUAGGAUCAUCUCUCCAUCCCUCAGCCUCUUGCUCUCCUCAAGAUCCUACAUAGAAGUGCACAAAUGAGCACUAGAACCACAAUCAAGCACCCAACUGGAUGCAGAAGAAAUCGUAAGAUUAGACUCUAAAACGAGCAUACCUUUAGAAGGACCGUCCUUCUUGUUCUUCAGGAUGGCCAGGUACUGAGGACAGUUUUGCUUCCAAUGGCCGUC
rnacentral:lncRNA from 1 species